AUGCAAGUCGAGCGGGGGAAGGUAGCUUGCUACCGGACCUAGCGGCGGACGGGUGAGUAAUGCUUAGGAAUCUGCCUAUUAGUGGGGGACAACAUCUCGAAAGGGAUGCUAAUACCGCAUACGUCCUACGGGAGAAAGCAGGGGAUCUUCGGACCUUGCGCUAAUAGAUGAGCCUAAGUCGGAUUAGCUAGUUGGUGGGGUAAAGGCCUACCAAGGCGACGAUCUGUAGCGGGUCUGAGAGGAUGAUCCGCCACACUGGGACUGAGACACGGCCCAGACUCCUACGGGAGGCAGCAGUGGGGAAUAUUGGACAAUGGGGGGAACCCUGAUCCAGCCAUGCCGCGUGUGUGAAGAAGGCCUUAUGGUUGUAAAGCACUUUAAGCGAGGAGGAGGCUACUUUAGUUAAUACCUAGAGAUAGUGGACGUUACUCGCAGAAUAAGCACCGGCUAACUCUGUGCCAGCAGCCGCGGUAAUACAGAGGGUGCGAGCGUUAAUCGGAUUUACUGGGCGUAAAGCGUGCGUAGGCGGCUUAUUAAGUCGGAUGUGAAAUCCCCGAGCUUAACUUGGGAAUUGCAUUCGAUACUGGUGAGCUAGAGUAUGGGAGAGGAUGGUAGAAUUCCAGGUGUAGCGGUGAAAUGCGUAGAGAUCUG
rnacentral:rRNA from 1 species